UUAAAGAAAGCGUAAUAGCUCACUGGUCGAGUCGGCCUGCGCGGAAGAUGUAACGGGGCUAAGUAGUAAACCGAAGCUGCGGCAAUGUGCUUUUGCACAUUGGGUAGGGGAGCGUUCUGUAAGCGGUUGAAGGUGUGUGGUAACGCAUGCUGGACGUAUCAGAAGUGCGAAUGCUGACAUGAGUAACGAUAAAGGGGGUGAAAAACCUCCUCGCCGGAAGACCAAGGGUUCCUGUCCAACGUUAAUCGGGGCAGGGUAAGUCGACCCCUAAGGCGAGGCCGAAAGGCGUAGUCGAUGGGAAACGGGUUAAUAUUCCCGUACUUCUUACAAUUGCGAUGGGGGGACGGAGAAGGCUAGGUGGGCCUGGCGACGGUUGUCCAGGUUCAAGUGCGUAGGCUUGAGAGUUAGGUAAAUCCGGCUCU
rnacentral:rRNA from 1 species